rnacentral:rRNA from 1 species
GAUGAACGCUGACAGAAUGCUUAACACAUGCAAGUCCACUUGAACUUCGGUUUGGGUGGCGGACGGGUGAGUAACGCGUAAAGAACUUGCCUCACAGCUAGGGACAACAUUUGGAAACGAAUGCUAAUACCUGAUAUUAUGAUUAUAUGGCAUCGUAUAAUUAUGAAAGCUAUAUGCGCUGCGAGAGAGCUUUGCGUCCCAUUAGCUAGUUGGAGAGGUAACAGCUCACCAAGGCGAUGAUGGGUAGCCGGCCUGAGAGGGUGAUCGGCCACAAGGGGACUGAGACACGGCCCUUACUCCUACGGGAGGCAGCAGUGGGGAAUAUUGGACAAUGGACCGAGAGUCUGAUCCAGCAAUUCUGUGUGCACGAUGAAGUUUUUCGGAAUGUAAAGUGCUUUCAGUUGGGAAGAAAAAAAUGACGGUACCAACAGAAGAAGUGACGGCUAAAUACGUG